GACAGAGGGCGCGGGCGUAUUCGUUUUGAUUGGGUGUAAAGGGUAAGUAGGCGUCCCACUUUUUAACUUUUGGCACAAAGCGCGGGGAGUUCCUAUGCGAUUGCCUUCUGGAGUGUGGGAUAGAGACAUGGAUAGGUAGGGGCAAGUCCUGUGUAGGGGUAAAAUCCUGCCAGAUAGGAACGAACACCAGCUGGCGAAGGCGCCUUUCCGGUCAUGUCUGACGCUCAGGUACGGAAGCUUAGGGAUCAAACGGG
rnacentral:rRNA from 1 species